GACGAACGCGGGCGGCGUGCUUAAUACAUGCAAGUAGAACGCUGAAGGAGGAGCUUGCUUCUCGGAUGAGUUGCGAACGGGUGAGUAACGCGUAGGUAACCUGCCUGGUAGCGGGGGAUAACUAUUGGAAACGAUAGCUAAUACCGCAUAAGAGUAGAUGUUGCAUGACAUUUGCUUAAAAGGUGCAAUUGCAUCACUACCAGAUGGACCUGCGUUGUAUUAGCUAGUUGGUGAGGUAACGGCUCACCAAGGCAACGAUACAUAGCCGACCUGAGAGGGUGAUCGGCCACACUGGGACUGAGACACGGCCCAGACUCCUACGGGAGGCAGCAGUAGGGAAUCUUCGGCAAUGGACGGAAGUCUGACCGAGCAACGCCGCGUGAGUGAAGAAGGUUUUCGGAUCGUAAAGCUCUGUUGUAAGAGAAGAACGAGUGUGAGAGUGGAAAAGUUCACACUGUGACCGGU
rnacentral:rRNA from 1 species